UGUGUGUGUGUGUGUGUGUGUGUGUGUGUGUGUGUGUGUGUUUCCUGCAGUUGGAUCUGGGCCUUUACAGUUUCCAUCAACUCUGGAAAAUGUUUAGCCAUUAUUUAUUUUUUCAAAUAAAAUAGUUUUGCUCUCUCCCUUCCCAUCUCUUCUUGCAAGCCCACUACACAUCAGGCUUUGAUACUCUGGGUAAUCAGAGGUUUGUUUGGUUUUUCUCUAUGUCUGUCUUCUCUCUCUAUGCUUCAGUUUAUAAAGUUCUGUUGUUACAUUUUCACAUCCAGUGUCCUUCCGGACAGUCUAAUUCUUUGUAUGCUUGUCCACUGAAUGUUUCGGAAAAUUUAUUUUCCAUUCCAGAAAUUCCAUGUGGCUCUCUCUAAAAUCUUCCAUUGCACUCCUUGUUACGAUCUGAUUUCUCUUUAAAACCUUUAGCAGGGAGCAGGGGAGAUGGCUCAAUCUGUAAAGUACCUGCUAGGCUAGGACGAAGACCUGAGUUCAAAUCCAUCACCCAAGCAGAAGCUUGCUGUGGCAGCCUGUGUCUGUAACCCCAGCACCAGGGGAACAGAGAAGACAGAUCCCUAGAGCUCAUGAGCCAGAAAGCCUAGUCCAGUCGAUGAGAUCCGCUUGGUGAGAGACCCUGACUCAAAAAAUAAGGUCGAGAGCAAUUGAGGGAGACAAGUGAUGCUAACCCUGGGCCUUCGCGCAUGUGCAUGCACACCCAUGAUCACACAUGUAUACACACACCCAUGAUCACACAUGUGUAUGCACACCCAUGAUCUAACUAGGUCUUCUGGCUUGCUAGUACACUUUUCCUCACUUGUUUCUAUUUACAUUGAUUGGGUUUUCAAAUGUACCAUUGAGUCCCACACUUGCCACCCCAAGGCCACCAUUAUCUUACCUGUUGUCACUAUAGAUUAAAUUCCCUUUUUCUAAGAUUUCAUAUAAUUGAGACAUACUAUAGUUUGAUAUUUGGCUUCCUCCGCUUGGCGUUUUCAGCCAUGAGCAUCAGCCAUGUUAUGCUGCAUCAGGCACCAAUGGCUUUACUCCUCCUAGUUGUGAACAUCUACCCCAUUGUUAAGAUAUACCAUGGCUACCUAUGCACAAGUUCACAAACACUUGCACUAUCCCUCUUGUUUUGUUGGUAUCCAUGUCAUCUUCCCCGGAAGAACCCAGAGGUAACACUGCUUGGUAGUGGGGGACAUGGAACUUUAUAAGACAAUGGCAAGUGACUUUCCAAAGUGUGUGUGUGCUGCUCUCGUGUCUAGCUCUCAUAUAUGAAAGUGGAGGAGGUCAUAUUCUUUUUGUGCUUGGUGUUGUUGGUCAGCCUUUUUAACUUUUACUCUUGUGUGGAUGAAUAGUGGUAUCUCAUCACUUUUUAAUUCGAGUUUUCUUGGUGACUAAGAUUGUCUUUCCAUUGGCUCUUGUGAUCUUCAGGAGAAAGGACUAUUAGCCUCUUCCUUACUGAAGAGCAUAUCGUCCCUUUCCACUGAGUUCUAAGAAUUCUCCACAUGUUCUAGUCACAAAGGCUUGGCCAACAUUGGUAUUGUGUUUCCUCCUAGUUUACGGUCUACCUCUCAAAAGUGAAUGCUAUUUCUGACGGACAGUCCGUACGUGUGUUUAGAGAGUGCUGCGAUGUGUGACACCUGUAUACAAUGUGGCAUGAUUAAGUCAGGUUAAUUCUGUAGCUAUCAUGUCACUUAAUGGGUUUUCUGGUGACAUUUAAAACGUCCCCUUUCAACUAUUUUUAAAAUACAGACAUAGUCCUUUUCUGAAACAUUUCAGACCAGUGUUCCUGAUUUUACAAUUUUUUGGAUUCUGGAAUAUCUUCAUGCACUUCCUAAGCAUUCCUAGUUGAAAAUCUGAAACAGUUUUCUAUACUGUGUGUGUGUGCGUGUGUGCGCGUGUGUGUGGGCAUGCAAGCCACAUGCGUGAGAGGAGGGCAGAGCACAGCUUUGUGGAUUCAGGGCUCUCCUCCCACCAUCAUGUGUUCUGGUGACUGAACUCGGGUUCCCACACUGGUGUGGUACUUGUGUUUACCACCGAGCCAUCUUGAUGGGGAAAAAAUCUCAAGCUUUUUUUUUUUUUUUUAAAUUGUCAUGUUAGAUUUGGGCUAGGGAUCUUCAAUCUCUACUUAAAAGAAUAUGUAAAUUACUUUUAAAAUACGUGUGUGUGUGUGUGUGUGUGUGUGUGUGUGUGUGCAUUUGUGUGUGUGUGCACAAGGUUAGAAGAUAACUUUGCACAGCUUGUUCAAGGGGUCAAAAUCAGGUCACCAGACUUGCAUGACAAGUGGCUUUAUGGCCAUCUUGCUGGUCUCAUCCAAAUUACUCUCCACUAUGGUCAUGGCAGUCAGAGAUCACACUGACUCGAACCCUUUAACCAACAACGCCUUGCCUCUUCAGCAUUUGAAAGAAUAGAAAAUGUAAGCUGGGCACGAGUGGCACACACUUUAAUCCUAGCACGUGAGGGGCAGAAACACAAACCUCUGUGGGUUCAAGGCUGGGAUAGUGAGAUAAAACAAGCGACGAAGGAACAGAGAGUUUAAAUGAAUUCUGACGUCAUUUUUAAUGAUAAGCGUUUAGUGUCCCAAGAAAUCCUUGCCCAUAGUCAGACUUCUUGUUUGCAUGGUUCCUUCUAGAACUCUUCUGGCUUCCCUGUCUACAUUCUGAGCUGUGAUCUAUUUCUAGUCAAUUUUAAUAGGGCACUUUGUUGUGAUUUUUCCCCUCCACUUCAUCCAGGGUUCUUAGCUCACUUUUGUAGAAAAUAGCUUUUGAGAAAGCAAUUCACUACGUAGCUCAGGCUAGCCCAGGCUUGUGAUGCUCUUCCUGCUUCGGCCCCGAGUGUCAGAGGAAUCCCAAUCUUAACGUACCUGCCAUGGCUCUACUAUCCGCCGAGACGUAUCUGACUUGCUCCACUUCAGCAGAGAUCCUGACGGUGAGCAGGCCUGGCUGCUCACCCGACUUGGUCUAUCAUUAGAGUUAGACACCAUUCUUUUUGUCCAACCACAUUUCAGCGUGUCUGUCCACGCUGCAGUCAUGUCAAAGGACUGAGGUCUCUUUGUAAAAGAUUCAGAGCACGGGGGGUUGGGGAUUUACCUAGCAAGCGCAAGGCCCUGAGUUCGGUCCCCAGCUCCGAAAAAAAAAAAAAAAAGAAAAAGAAAAAAAGAUUCAGAGCACGGAGUUUCUAGAAGCUAAAUGUGUGCAGGUAACAGUGGGCAGUGCACCUUAGAGGACACGGACGCCCACCCUCCUUCACGCCCUGCUGCAUGAGUCUCUCACCUGCGUCCUCGGUCGGUAUCCUUUACAGGGAACCAGUGAACUGGGCAGGAGAUGGCUCAGUGGUCAAGAGUACUCACUGCUCUUCCAGAGGACCAGAGGCCAGUUCUCAGCACCCACAGCCAGCAGCUCACAUUCAUUACCUCAGCUGCAGGGGUUCUGACGCCUCUGGCCUCUGAGGUACCCGCCUUCAUGUGCACAUAUGCACACCACUGCCCCCCAUACAUGAAAAAGAUAGAGGGCUGUGUGAAGUCCAAUGUGCAGUCAGACUCAGGAGCACAGGUAAAGCAGCCUGAGGCUCGAGCUGGCAGCUAGAGGAAGGAAGAUGGUCUUGAAGACAUCCCCCUCCUGCACAGACAUCCCUCCAGACAUAAAGCCUGAAGAGAGAAUGCUAGGAUGGAACCAACAGACGGCAGUGCACAGGUAUCUGCUAGGCCAGAGUGGGUGGCCUGUUAGAACUGACUAAGAGAAAUUCUAGUUUGUCUCUCCUGCCUCAGGGAGGGAGUUAUUAGCCAAGAGCAGUGGAAGAAAUUCCUCACUUCUGCGCUGAGCAGCAGUCCACAUUGCAAACAUGUAGCAGAAGAAAGUGAGUUCUGGUUUGUAUACAUGUAUAAAGGCUUGGUGUUUUAAGCUACAUACUGUUUGCUAGAGCACUUGGGUGUCGCCCCUCACGCACUUACUGAGUGCCUCGGUUAAGGCCUCCCCACUAUACCCACACAGAGCUCUGAUGUCUCUGGGUCCUGCAAACUGCUCUCUAGCAGCUACUCUUCCUGGUCAUGAGCUCUACCCAGCCGUCAGACCUUUCCAAGAGUCUUGAGGGAAUCCCAGGGUACACAUCUACAGCUUUCUCUUGUGCAGUUCCUUUCCCUACAUACCUUCUCCUGCAAGUUCCCCUUUGCUUCUGUCUCUAACUCUGCCUUCUUAACACAUCACACUUUUGGCUACGUGUGGGUUCCUCGCUGCUCUUCAAUGUGGGGACGGUCUCCAGGCAGGAUGCUGGGCCCUCCCUUGGGGAAGCAGCAACUGUUGUUCAAGGACCACAGACAAGAGUUGUGUGUGUUCUGCCCUGCUUUCUGGUUGCUUAUAGGAAAAGGGUAGGUUGCCCUUUCACAGCAUCUACUUUUGCACAGGCUAAAGUCGAAUGCAGCCACUGAGGAAAGAGCACUCGGGCUUCGAGAUCCAGCCCUGUUCUCCUCCAUGCUGCCCACUGUACCUAGGAAACCCUGCGCUCACGAUCUCAGUGAGAACGCAGGCGGCUCUCAGUCAGGAAGAGGCAUCCUGUGGUGUGAACACAACGGUCACUGCACACCACAGGCUGCGCGAAGGCAGGGAGGCCUAGAGCUGGACUAAGAGCCAUUGGGAUUGAGUCACACUUUUGUCAGUUGACACUAACUGUUGGGUAUCUUCACGCAGGUACCAACCAGAUCAAACUGGUCACGCACCUUCACUCUCGACUUGUGAUUUUAACUGCCCAACCAUUGAGGCUUUGGCCGGAAACUGACAAACAGAUCCUGUAUUUACGUAGUCUUACACUAUCACUUGGGGCUAGGAGUGGGUAUGUACCUAAUGGUACAGCAUCUGGUUAGCAUUGACUAGCUUGUAUGAGGUUCUGAGUUCGACACUCAAGAUCCCAGCACCACCAAAACACUAACUAAAUUCUUCUGUAAGUUCCAUGUUAAUUACAAAGGGAGAGACUUCACGGCAGAAAGACUUAGAAGAAUCAAGUUAUUAAGGAACCAAUGCUGGUGCCUCAGAUUAGGACCAACCAGUGUGACACUAACAUCACUUAGGUGGCAGCUCUGCCCACAACAUGUAAGGCAGAAGCUGUCGCAAGCAAAUGGAGCCCAGCAAGCAGGACAGAAUAGUUGCGACAGCAUCAGGGUGACUUGAAGGUGUAAACACAGGGCUGGGAAGACGGUUCAGUGGGCAAGCUUUGUGCUCCACAAGCAUGGGAACUCACGUAAAACCCAGAUCUGGCAGCCCAUGAUUGUAGCUCCCGCCCUGCCCUGGCAGGACUGAGAUAGGAGGAUGCCUGGAGCUUGUUGGCCAGACAACCUAGCUUAUCGGCAAGCCGUAGGUCCAGUGAAAGAUCUUGUCUCACAAACCAGGGUGGUCAGCUCCUGAGAACCGCCAUCCAAGGCUGGCCGACCUCUGCCCUCCACACCAACAUUCUCUGUACACAGAGGAAGAGGAACAGGCACAGGAAGCGUGUGGGCAAGGGGAGGAGGCAGGCACUCGCGUCACGGUACAGGGGCACCCCUGCCUCUCAGUAUCUGCUAACUGGGCGGCUAACAUGUAAGACUAUACCAGCUACAGCAUCUGCAGCUCAGACACGACACGCCGGUGAGAGGUCAAAACGGAGUGCCAACCACCAGGGCACCGUCCUAAUUUAGCCUGAGCUCCUGCUGUAAUACAACAGCAGAUGUGGUCGGUGGAGAGAGACCAGCCAUCCCCACGUCAUAGAGCAGGGGCGUGCAAAUGCCCCAGGUGGCACUCUUCUCUCUACCCUCUAUUUCCUGAUGCCUUAUGUCACACCAGGCCAAAAUUCGGCCUGUUACUGUCCACGUGGGCCUGGUCCCAGGACCUCGACCACAGGGGAAUGAGAUCACACUGUAGACAGCUGCUGCUGGGUAUGCUGUAUACCAGCCCUUGGGAGGCUGAGGUGAAAGGACUUGCCUGAGCCUGAGGUGACCUACACAGCCAGCAUCAGGUCAAACAAGCCUAUAUAACAAGAACAAAGCUGUCCUCAGAAUGCUGUGGCACCCAUUCCAGUGACACUGAGCCCAACUGUAACGUUCUUGAUGACUGCCCCUGAAUAUUCUCCACUGUUCUGGAGUGUUAGUUAUUUUCUUAAACACAUUCUGGGGGGAGGGGAAUCACUAUUAGUUGAAUUAAUAAACAUUUAAGCUACCUCUGCUUACUUUAAUUUCCUGUAACCCAAUGUUUUUGUUAUUAUGUUGCCAACAACUGACAGGACUUCUCACAGAAGAAUCUGAGAGAAUUACAAAAACCGGGGUUUUUUUCUUUUUUCUUUUUCUUUUCUAUGCUGGGGAUCAAACCCAGGCUCACGCAUGCUAUAAAUGCUCUACCACUGAGCCAAAUCCCAUCUGCAAACCAGGACAAGAUUAACGAAUCCCAUCUUCACAAAAUUAACACUGUUUUUCAACCCUGUGACUGUAGGAACCCAACACGUUCUUAUCUCGGGCCCCUCCUGUGCUGGACCCAUUUCGGGGAAGCCAUGGAACCAGUAACUCAGACUUGCAGUUCGCUAGCCGAGGAGAGCCAGAUGUGUGACACAUUUGUUCAAACGUGCUCACUGUCUCCCGCACUCCUCUCUCUAGAUGAACACAACAGUGGUGGGUACAGAUGGCCUUGCUUGCAGGAGCUGACAAGGAUUCAUCCCAAGUACACUGAAGGGUUCGGGCCACCUCAGCCAGGACAUUUGAACUGCAGGAUCUGCACAGCCACAAGAAUCUGUAGCAAGUCUUUAAGGGGGCCAAUGCCUUACCCACCAGGGAACUGCAUGUCUAUAUCACACCUUUAAAGAAGUAUCAAAGCCAACAAGAAGACCAUGCAGCAGCCCCUGAAGCUCCCUUCUUCCUCUCUGGUUCCCUUCCGGUGUGAUACACGAUCAUAACGAACCCCCACUCCUUUCCUGACAGGAGCCUGUUUCCUGCACACAGCACCCUUCAGAAUGAAAGUCCCAGGAGCCAAUGGAAUGGCAAGGAGGUGAGCCUACUGAAAACUCAGAAGUCAGAACUCAAGGGGGAGCCUGUUCUACUGGGCACAAAGGCCCAGAAUUCCAGGAUUUGCUGACAAGCAGAAUUCUUCUUGGGAGACAUUCCAAGGCAAAGGCCACCCCUACCAACACCUGGGGCCAUGCUCACAGGGUGGGCAAUAGCAGUUCCCAGAACUUCCUCAGCCUAACAAGAUUCUCUGUGACCACACGCGGGAGGUGCGUGAGCCUCCAUGAAAGUGAUGGAUGAUCAAUAAACACCAAUUAACAAGGACCCUCCUUUGGUUUUCUGCCAAAAGGAGCCUUCCAGAGGUGGACUACGUGGUUCUUUCUGCUUACUGACUCUCUGACCCCGAGCCCAGAACAGAAAUCUCCAUUGCCAUCUUCCUCGAAAAGAAACUGAAGCUUUGAGAAUUACCUCCAUGGCUCAAGGACAGAGGAGAGAUCGAGUGCGGACCACAUUCACAUCCAUCCGAGGUCCUGCUACUUUUAACAUCUUGUGAAGAAACUUCAACACAUCUUCAUCUUCAUGCAAAUAUUACUCUAAUUAUGAAGGGUUUAAACACAUCGUUAAAGCAGCAGAGAUCUGGCAGGCCCCUACAGAGCAACACUUGACCAACAGCGGUAUUUAGUAAUUUAAAACAUGCAUUUGAUGAAAUUA
rnacentral:sRNA from 1 species